rnacentral:rRNA from 1 species
AGUACCGUGAGGGAAAGGUGAAAAGUACCCCGGAAGGGGAGUGAAAGAGAACUUGAAACCGUGUGCUUACAAGUAGUCAGAGCCCGUUAAUGGGUGAUGGCGUGCCUUUUGUAGAAUGAACCGGCGAGUUACGAUCUGAUGCAAGGUUAAGCAGAAAAUGUGGAGCCGUAGCGAAAGCGAGUCUGAAUAGGGCGAAUGAGUAUUUGGUCGUAGACCCGAAACCAGGUGAUCUACCCUUGGUCAGGUUGAAGUUCAGGUAACACUGAAUGGAGGACCGAACCGACUUACGUUGAAAAGUGAGCGGAUGAACUGAGGGUAGCGGAGAAAUUCCAAUCGAACUUGGAGAUAGCUGGUUCUCUCCGAAAUAGCUUUAGGGCUAGCCUCAAGUGAUGAUUAUUGGAGGUAGAGCACUGUUUGGACGAGGGGCCCCUCUCGGGUUACCGAAUUCAGACAAACUCCGAAUGCCAAAUAAUUUAACUUGGGAGUCAGAAUGUGGGUGAUAAGGUCCAUAUUCGAAAGGGAAACAGCCCAGACCACCAGCUAAGGUCCCAAAAUAUAUGUUAAGUGGAAAAGGAUGUGGCGUUGCCCAGACAACUAGGAUGUUGGCUUAGAAGCAGCCAUCAUUUAAAGAGUGCGUAAUAGCUCACUAGUCGAGUGACACUGCGCCGAAAAUGUACCGGGGCUAAACAUAUUACCGAAGCUGUGGAUUGUCCUUUGGACAAUGGUAGGAGAGCGUUCUAAGGGCGUUGAAGCAUGAUCGCAAGGACAUGUGGAGCGCUUAGAAGUGAGAAUGCCGGUGUGAGUAGCGAAAGACGGGUGAGAAUCCCGUCCACCGAUUGACUAAGGUUUCCAGAGGAAGGCUCGUCCGCUCUGGGUUAGUCGGGUCCUAAGCUGAGGCCGACAGGCGUAGGCGAUGGAUAACAGGUUGAUAUUCCUGUACCACCAUUAUUCGUUUUAAGCGAUGGGGGGACGCAGUAGGAUAGGCGAAGCGUGCUGUUGGAGUGCACGUCCAAGCAGUGAGAUUGAGUGUUAGGCAAAUCCGGCACUCUUAAGAUUGAGCUGUGAUGGGGAGAGGAACUUGUUCCUCGAGUCGUUGAUUUCACACUGCCGAGAAAAGCCUCUAGCUAGAAUAACGGUGCCCGUACCGCAAACCGACACAGGUAGUCAAGAUGAGAAUUCUAAGGUGAGCGAGCGAACUCUCGUUAAGGAACUCGGCAAAAUGACCCCGUAACUUCGGGAGAAGGGGUGCUCUUUGAGGUUCACGCUUCGAAGAGCCGCAGUGAAUAGGCCCAAGCGACUGUUUAUCAAAAACACAGGUCUCUGCUAAACCGUAAGGUGACGUAUAGGGGCUGACGCCUGCCCGGUGCUGGAAGGUUAAGAGGAGUGGUUAGCGCAAGCGAAGCUACGAAUCGAAGCCCCAGUAAACGGCGGCCGUAACUAUAACGGUCCUAAGGUAGCGAAAUUCCUUGUCGGGUAAGUUCCGACCCGCACGAAAGGCGUAACGAUUUGGGCACUGUCUCAACGAGAGACUCGGUGAAAUCAUAGUACCGGUGAAGAUGCCGGUUACCCGCGACAGGACGGAAAGACCCCGUGGAGCUUUACUGUAGCCUGAUAUUGAAAUUCGGUACAGUUUGUACAGGAUAGGUAGGAGCCUUAGAAGCGUGAGCGCUAGCUUACGUGGAGGCAUUGGUGGGAUACUACCCUAAUUGUAUUGGAUUUCUAACCCGCAGCACUUAUCGUGCUGGGAGACAGUGUCAGGCGGGCAGUUUGACUGGGGCGGUCGCCUCCUAAAGAGUAACGGAGGCGCUCAAAGGUUCCCUCAGAAUGGUUGGAAAUCAUUCAUAGAGUGUAAAGGCAUAAGGGAGCUUGACUGCGAGACCUACAAGUCGAGCAGGGUCGAAAGACGGACUUAGUGAUCCGGUGGUUCCGCAUGGAAGGGCCAUCGCUCAACGGAUAAAAGCUACCCCGGGGAUAACAGGCUUAUCUCCCCCAAGAGUUCACAUCGACGGGGAGGUUUGGCACCUCGAUGUCGGCUCAUCGCAUCCUGGGGCUGUAGUCGGUCCCAAGGGUUGGGCUGUUCGCCCAUUAAAGCGGUACGCGAGCUGGGUUCAGAACGUCGUGAGACAGUUCGGUCCCUAUCCGUCGUGGGCGUAGGAAAUUUGAGAGGAGCUGUCCUUAGUACGAGAGGACCGGGAUGGACAUACCUCUGGUGUACCAGUUGUCGUGCCAACGGCAUAGCUGGGUAGCUAUGUAUGGACGGGAUAAGUGCUGAAAGCAUCUAAGCAUGAAGCCCCCCUCGAGAUGAGAUUUCCCAACUUCGGUUAUAAGAUCCCUCAAAGAUGAUGAGGUGAAUAGGUUCGAGGUGGAAGCGUAGCGAUACGUGGAGCUGACGAAUACUA